UACAGAGGUCCCAAGCGUUGUUCGGAUUCACUGGGCGUAAAGGGUGCGUAGGUGGUGAGGUAAGUCGGAUGUGAAAGCUCGGAGCUCAACUCCGAAAUGGCAUUGGAAACUACCUUGCUCGAGGGUUGGAGGGGGGACUGGAAUACUUGGUGUAGCAGUGAAAUACGUAGAUAUCAAGUGGAACACCAGUGGCGAAGGCGAGUCCCUGGACAACUCCUGACACUGAGGCACGAAAGCUAGGGGAGCAAACAGG
rnacentral:rRNA from 1 species